rnacentral:misc_RNA from 1 species
UGCCUAUCGAACCCAGACAGGCACUUUUGACCAAGCCAUUGCAGAACUGCUUAUUGCAGGAUUCUCAGGCCAACUUAAAGAAUGGUGGGACUAUUAUCUCACUCCCCAAUAAAAGCUAGAAAUUUUAAAGUCAGUAGAGAUUGAUGAAGAUCAAGAAUCAAUCCUUGAUAAGAAUGGCAUACCAAUUCAGAAUGUUGUUGCACUUACUCUCCAUUUUUUAUGGAGAUCCAUCACACCUUAAAUACAAAAAUGCUAAGCUUCUCUCUAAUCUCAGGUAUAAGAAGUUUAGAGAUUUUAAAUGGUAUAAAGACACCUUCCAUACGAAGGUUAUGCUUCGUGAAGAUUCCAACUAACCUUUUUGGAAAGAAAAGUUUCUUGCCACUCUCCCUCCUCUCCUUAGAGAAAUGGUUAGGAAUAAAAUUAAGGAGCACUACAAUGAGCAAAUUCCUUAUGAUCAACUAAUUUAUGGCGAACUCAUCAUCUAUACUAAAAAAUAAGGCUCGAAGAUUUGUCAAAAUCUUAAGCUUCAAAAACAGUUGAUAUUAGAAAUGCACAAAACUAGGAAAGAACUUGGAUACUUUUGCCAAUAGUUUGAUAUCUCUUACCUAAAGCCAUCCUCUUCAAACUUUAAACCUUGUUAAGAUUGCCAACCCAAGAGAUAUCGAAAACACCAAAAACACUACUCCAAAGACAAAUCUUCUCACCAACCAAAAAAACCUUACAAGAAGAAAGCCUAUACCUGAACAUACCGAAGAUUAGGGGUGAGCAUUCGGUUCGAA